rnacentral:rRNA from 1 species
GAUGAACGCUGGCGGCGUGCCUAAUACAUGCAAGUCGAGCGGUAAGGCCUCUUCGGAGGUACACGAGCGGCGGACGGCUGAGUAACGCGUCGGAACAUACCCCAAAGUGAGGGAUAACUGCUCGAAAGAGUAGCUAAUACCGCAUGUGCACUAAGGAGUAAAGCUUCGGCGCUUUGGGAAUGGCCGGCGUAAGAUUAGCUUGUUGGUGAGGUAAUGGCUCACCAAGGCGAUGAUCUUUAGAUGGUCUGAGAGGAUGAUCAGCCAGACUGGGACUGAGACACGGCCCAGACUCCUACGGGAGGCAGCAGUAGGGAAUUUUCCACAAUGGGGGCAACCCUGAUGGAGCAACGCCGCGUGCAGGAUGAAGGCCUUCGGGUUGUAAACUGCUUUUCUAUGCGAAGAUUAUGACGGAAACAUAGGAAUAAGGAUCGGCUAACUCCGUGCCAGCCGCCGCCGUAA